rnacentral:lncRNA from 1 species
AUGGGGAGUGUUGAGACCACCACACCAAUAAACGCCUUUUUCCAAAGUCUCUGCUUACAGAUGUCCGUGUGGUUGAGGAGUCGGAUAUACUUGGCCGGGCCAAUGAGAGGGCGCCCUUCUGCGGGUGGCCGGCUCCGAGACAGCAGCUGCUGUCUGCCGGGUGGAGAGACGAGUCCGUGGGGCCAGCAGCGGCCGGGAAGACGCGUGUGGCGGCUGAGACUGAGCUGCACCGCAGAACGCAGAGUGGAAGGGCUGAGACUGAGUCUCUGGGGACCUGAUUUGAGCAGCUGGAUCGAAGUGUACCUGAUGCUGUCCUUCACUUACACAAGCAAUAAAGUCUCGUGUGUGUACCCCUUGUGUGGUGGGCUUUCUGUCUCUGGUGAUCCAAAGGAAAUGAAAAUCUGCCUGAUAUGGGAGAGAGGGAAGAGGGCUCAGGCACCCAAGACUCCAGAAGCUCCCUGCCCUGAGACAUGUGCUGGUCGCCUACACUUUCGUUUUUUCUUUGCUCACACACACACACACACACACACACACACACACACGAGAGGGGAGAAAUCUCAUUUUACAGGAAGGGAGCCCUGUCCUCUUCCUUUUGUCUUUGGAUGCUGGUAUGUGAAGAUGUGACAAACGGAACGGCAGGAGCCAUUUUACUACAGGAGGCAACAUGUGGAUAAACUACACCAACCCAUUAAAAAGUGGCAGAGCUGGGCCGGGGAUUUAGCUCAGUGGCUCCACUGCCUGCCUCACAAGUGCAAGGACCUGAGUUCGAUCCCCGGUACCCCUCAACAAAUAGUGGCAGAGCUGAAAGAUUCAAAGGGUCCAGGUCCUGGAUGGGGCCAUUGAGGUGCUGAGCCAGGAUGAGGCAUCGUGCUGGGGAGGACACAGGCAGCUCUCUUGACUGGCACCAAAGCGCUUGAUCAAUCAGCAAAUGUGUAUGGAUUGUCUGGUGUGUGCCAGGCCCUGCGUUAAGUGCUCAGAUAAUGGUGUGGUUUUCGUCUUCGUGAACUUUUGUUGAGGGGAUCUGAGCUACUGGAGGAAUUAUAUCCCUGCACAUGAGCAGGGGAAGUUCAGGGAUGCUGGGACUGAACCUAUGACCAAGGUAAAGGAAAAGGUCUCCUGAGAUAGGCAUGGUGGCCUUGACCUCGCAGAGUGAGCCGCAGGAGGAGAAGUGCCCUGGCAAAGUGCUGGUGGGAGCAGAAGCAAGGCUGGGAGAAAGCCUGUGUCCCCGAGGAGGUGUCAGUCUCAGGAAGGGAGGUCACGGGCGGCGACACAGGCCAGGCCAAACCAGGAGACCUUGCAGGUCAGGAGGAGGGUGUGGAUAACGCCUGAAGGGCAGCUUACAGCCCUGGAAGCCUUGAAAAGGACAGGGAGGUGAUCUGAUCUGCCUUAGGAUGAAGUCUCUGGGAGCUGUGCCAGAAGUGGAGGAGGAAGUGCAGCCAGAGACCCAGCCAGGUUCCUCUACCAGCCGGGAGCAGCGCAGCAGGCCGGCCUGGC